GAUGAAGAACGUAGCGAAAUGCGAUAAGUAGUGUGAAUUGCAGAAUUCAGUGAAUCAUCGAAUCUUUGAACGCACAUUGCGCCCUUUGGUAUUCCUUAGGGCAUGCCUGUUCGAGCGUCAUUUAAACCUUCAAGCUCAGCUUGGUGUUGGGUGACUGUCCGCUUCACCGCGGACUCGCCUCAAAAUUAUUGGCGGCCGGUACAUUGGCUCUCGAGCGCAGCAGAAACGCGUAACUCGAGGUCCUCGUGCUGGCUCCCAGAAGCUAUCUUCACAAUUUUGACCUCGGAUCAGGUAGGGAUACCCGCUGAACUUAAGCAUAUCAAUAAGGAGGA
rnacentral:misc_RNA from 1 species